UUAAAUUAAAAUAUUUAUAAAAAUUUAAUAAAAUAUUAAAUGAUAUAUCAUUAAAUUGAAAAAAUUUGGCGGUAUUUUAAAAAAUUAGAGGAAUUUGUUUUGUAAAUGAUAAUACACGAUAAGAUUUACUUUUUAAAUAUUUAUGUAUUGCUGUUUAAAUUUAUUUAUUAAGUAAAUUUAAAAUUGUUUAAAUAGAAAAUAAUUCAAGUCAAAAUGUAGUAUUUUAAAGAAUUUAAUGAGUUACAAUUUUUUAUAUAUUGGAUUUUUUGAUUUAAAUUAAUUAUGAAAUUGGAUUUAAAAGUAAAAUAAAUUAAUUUGUUUAUUUGAAUAUUUUUAAAAUAAGU
rnacentral:rRNA from 1 species